rnacentral:rRNA from 1 species
AUGUUGUGCUACCGCUGUGGUGAGCGGGGGCACUUUAUUGCUGAAUGUGUGACCGAGUUAUGUGAUACUUGCCUCAAGACAGCACAUGACACGGAGGAGGCCCAGAGCACAACUACAGAGGUGGUCAAGGUCACGAAGGGUGACGUGUCUGAGGCUCAGAUUUUGCAGCGCCUUAGGGAGUUGGCCCCAGGUGAUUUUCAGUGGGAGCUGAUUCGACUUGAGGACAACAACUAUAAGGUUGACUUCCCGACUAGAGGAUUUGGAGCGUCUCCUCAGCUUUGGGCUUUGCAAAGUUCCUGGCACAGAGUGCAUUCUUGA